rnacentral:rRNA from 1 species
UACGUAGGGUGCAAGCGUUGUCCGGAAUUAUUGGGCGUAAAGAGCUCGUAGGCGGUUUGUCGCGUCUGCUGUGAAAACCCGAGGCUCAACCUCCAGCCUGCAGUGGGUACGGGCAGACUAGAGUGCGGUAGGGGAGAUUGGAAUUCCUGGUGUAGCGGUGGAAUGCGCAGAUAUCAGGAGGAACACCGAUGGCGAAGGCAGAUCUCUGGGCCGUAACUGACGCUGAGGAGCGAAAGCGUGGGGAGCGAACAGG